rnacentral:rRNA from 1 species
AGAGUUUGAUUAUGGCUCAGGAUGAACGCUGGCGGUCUGCUUAACACAUGCAAGUCGAACGGAAGUCUUCGGACUUUAGUGGCGGACGGGUGAGUAACGCGUGAGAAUCUACCCUUAGGAUGGGGACAACAGUUGGAAACGACUGCUAAUACCCGAUGUGCCGAGAGGUAAAACUUAUAUGGCCUGAGGAAGAGCUCGCGUCUGAUUAGCUAGUUGGUAGUGUAAGGGACUACCAAGGCGACGAUCAGUAGCUGGUCUGAGAGGAUGAUCAGCCACACUGGGACUGAGACACGGCCCAGACUCCUACGGGAGGCAGCAGUGGGGAAUUUUCCGCAAUGGGCGAAAGCCUGACGGAGCAAGACCGCGUGAGGGAGGAAGGCCUACUGGUUGUAAACCUCUUUUGAUAGGGAAGAACACAAUGACGGUACCUAUCGAAUCAGCCUCGGCUAACUCCGUGCCAGCAGCCGCGGUAAUACGGAGGAGGCAAGCGUUAUCCGGAAUUAUUGGGCGUAAAGCGUCCGUAGGUGGUUAUCCAAGUCAGUUGUUAAAGCGUAGAGCUUAACUCUAUGAGGGCAAUUGAAACUGGGUGGCUAGAGUGCGAUAGGGGCAAGGGGAAUUCCCAGUGUAGCGGUGAAAUGCGUAGAUAUUGGGAAGAACAUCGGUGGCGAAGGCGCCUUGCUGGGUCUGCACUGACACUGAGGGACGAAAGCUAGGGGAGCGAAAGGGAUUAGAUACCCCUGUAGUCCUAGCCGUAAACGAUGGAUACUAGGCGUUGACCGUAUCGACCCGGUCAGUGCCGUAGCUAACGCGUUAAAUAUCCCGCCUGGGGAGUACGCUCGCAAGAGUGAAACUCAAAUGAAUUGACGGGGA